rnacentral:rRNA from 1 species
UUCCGGUUGAUCCUGCCGGACCCGACCGCUAUUAGAGUGGGACUAAGCCAUGCGAGUCGUGCAUCCCUAGCUGUAGGGGUGCGGCGUACGGCUCAGUAGUAUGUAGCUAACCUACCCCGUGGACGGGUAUAAUCCCGGGAAACUGGGGCUAAUGCCAGGUAAGCCAUCGGUUCUGGAAUGACUGACGGCUGAAAUAGAUAUAUGAACAUGCUUCAUAUAUCUGCCACGGGAUGGGGCUACAUCCGAUCAGGUAGUUGGCGGGGUAAAGGCCCACCAAGCCUAUGACCGGUACGGGCUCUGAGAGGAGGAGCCCGGAGAUGGGCACUGAGACAAGGGCCCAGGCCCUAUGGGGCGCAGCAGGCGCGAAACCUUCACAAUGCGCGAAAGCGUGAUGAGGUCACUCUGAGUGUUGCUCGCUGAGAGCAACUUUUAUCCGGCCUAAAAAGCCGGGUGAAUAAGGGGAGGGCAAGACUGGUGUCAGCCGCCGCGGUAAUACCAGCUCCCCGAGUGGUCGGGAUGAUUAUUGGGCCUAAAGCAUCCGUAGCCGGCCUUAUGGAUGACCCGUUAAAUCCAACGACUCAAUCGUUGGGCAGCGGGUUAUAUCGUGAGGCUAGGGGGCGGGAGAGGUGAAGGGUACUCCACGGGUAGGGGUAAAAUCCGUUGAUCCGUGGAAGACCAACAGUGGCGAAGGCGCCUCGCCAGAACGCGCUCGACGGUGAGGGAUGAAAGCUGGGGGAGCGAACCGGAUUAGAUACCCGGGUAGUCCCAGCUGUAAACGAUGCUUGCUAGGUGCUGGGAGGGCUAAGGGCUUUCCCAGUGCCGCAGGGAAGCCGUUAAGCAAGCCGCCUGGGGAGUACGGCCGCAAGGCUGAAACUUAAAGGAAUUGGCGGGGGAGCACCACAAGGGGUGAAGCCUGCGGUUCAAUUGGAGUCAACGCCCGGAACCUUACCAGGGGUGACAGCAGAAUGAUGGUCAAGCUAAAGACCUUACCUGACAAGCUGAGAGGAGGUGCAUGGCCGUCGCCAGCUCGUGCUGUGAAGUGUCCUGUUAAGUCAGGCAACGAGCGAGACCCCUGCCAUUAAUUGCAGUCUGUCUCCGUAAGGUGACGGAAGGUAAUUAAUGGGACCGCCGUCGAUAAGACGGAGGAAGGAGGGGGCUACGGCAGGUCAGUAUGCCCCGAAACCCCUGGGCCACACGCGGGCUGCAAUGGUGGGGACAACGGGAACCAAACCCGAAAGGGCAAGGUAAUCCCCCAAACCCCACCCCAGUUGGGAUUGAGGGCUGCAACCCGCCCUCAUGAACCUGGAAUCCCUAGUAAUCGCACGUCACCAGCGUGCGGUGAAUGCGUCCCCGCUCCUUGCACACACCGCCCGUCGCUCCAUCCGAGUUGGCCGUUGGUGAGGUGGUAUCAUGUUGGUAUCAUCGAACCUGCGGUCAGCGAGGGGGGAGAAGUCGUAACAAGGUAACCGUA